GUGCACUUAACGGGGCCUUGGCGAGGUGGAGUAAGGGGACAGUCAGCCGCUGGAAGGGUCCAGGGAAUGUUCGAGUUUAUUCCGGGCCGUCGGGGAGCCUCUCAGAGAGGGCCGGCCCUUCCCGAUCGCGUCCGCCGGGGUCGCGGGUCCUCCGGUUGCGGCCGGGUCUUACAGGCCGGUGGCCGUGGUUCGGAGGGUCCCGCCAGGGGCCGUUUCGACAUAAUUCUGAAGGGCGCGUCCUCGUUUCGAACAUUGUGCGCUUUUCCUCAAAAGCCUUUAAAGUAAUCUUUUGAAAAAAAAAUUUUUUUUCCAGAAGGAAAAGAACUUCCGCUGUCGAGGGCAGCAUAACAUCCCCCUUCCGCGCGGACCUGGCGACCCCGGCGCGUUCCAGUGAGUGCUUGGUGUAAGUUGUCUCCACAGGACUUCUUUUGUCUUUCAAUUGGGCUUUGUCUUUGUGUGGAGUAUAUUUUUGACACAUUUAGGCAGGAAGAUAAAGCUUCUUUUAAAGCCCUUUAGGGUGCACCUGUUCUAUAGGUAGCGGACCACAAACCAUUUUGCCAAGGGACGGAAAGGAUCUGUAGCCCAUUCUCUUCAUUUGAACUUUCUGCUCUGGGCUUCCCCACGGAGCUUCAAAACGGAUCUGUAGGAAGGACGAGGUUUUAUUGCACUAAAGUACUAUCAUAUUUGAACUUAUUUGCUUUCUUCCAGAAAAUAGGAAGCAGGAGACAAUGGAUUAACUGAUUAAGUCUCUAGAGAGAGAGAGAAAAGAGAAUUGACAAAGACUUAACUCCAGUUUUGGCACCAAAGUAAUUUUCUACAUUUGGGAAAAUUAAUAUACAACUCAGUAUAUAA
rnacentral:lncRNA from 1 species